rnacentral:misc_RNA from 1 species
GGAAAGUAAAAGUCGUAACAAGGUUUCCGUAGGUGAACCUGCGGAAGGAUCAUUGCAAAUCUGCGAGCGCUGGGUGGGAUUGUGGGGAAAUCGGCGAGGAACCGCGAGUCGGGGAAUCGUCGAGCCGCGAGAUCUCACAGCACUGCUCAUAUAUGCACAGCGUGCUGGUCUCUGACUGCGCGCUGAUGUUUACGCUUGUUUGUUUGACAAAUCUUUGCAUCAAAAAUUCAAAACUUUUAACAACGGAUCUCUUGGCUCUU